ensembl:lncRNA novel transcript
CUGGCCACGCCCCCGGAAGGGCCGCCCACAGACAUCCUUUUGGCUGAGUUCUGCUGCCUGAAAACUUCUGUCAAAACACAGAAUCGUUUCUGGAAGUGAGACGAUUGAACUGGUUUCUUGCCAACAGGUGUCCCAGAAGGAGCGUUCGCAGCUCCCUGGAGGCGGGAACGGAGUCCCCCGGGGAGAGAGUGGUCCAGGGUUUGCCCUCAGGCGUCCACACUGUCCGCCGGCGAGGCUGGUCCUGUUCCCAGCACCCACGCUGCUAGAGCCACCGGAUCUCCCAGGAGGAGACCCAGCUGCACUCAGAAGAAUCACGCUGGCCUAGGAGAUGGACGGCGGCGUGCGGGAGGGUGAGUCUGCUGACUUUUGCCUGCAAACCCUGAGAUGCGGUGACAUAAAAAGUGAGAAAAUCGCCAUUCCCUCUCAGCAGCGCAGGUGAGCUUGAGAACCGCCUGCCCCCACGGGGCCGCAGCGCCCGACCCGUCUCUAAAACAGCAACAGCGGCGCCUGCACCGACGUCUGCUUCUAGGCCCGGAUAACCUAAUGCACCUUAACGCACUUUGCCAACGCUGCUGGGAGCACAAAUGCGGAUUUAUUAUAAUUGACAAUGAGUCUUGUUUCCAUCGGUGCAGUGUAAAUAUAUGUGAAAUUUACUAGGA